UAAGUGAAAGCCAAAGGCACCUAUUUGUUAAUUAGGCUCGUGCUACUAUUAGCUCACUUAG
rnacentral:tRNA from 1 species